UAUGAUUUAUCAUAAGUCAUAUGAUCGGAGGCACCAGAAUCAAUAAUCCAUGUAUCAGAACCAACAAAGUUAGAAACCUUUAAAACCAUACCAAUCUUACCACGACCAGCUAUAGAGGCUGUAGGAUGAUAACCCUUCUUUUUAGGGUAUCCGUUCAGUUUCCAGCCUUGUGGGACAGAAACCUCAACCUUCUGGACCUCAUGGAUCUUGGAACUCUGACCGUCAUUGUCACCACCACCCAUUGCAAUAAUACAAUUGCAAAAAAACACACAAAUCCCAAAGUAUGCAGCGGAAAUAAGAAGAACAGAAGGCUCCAAAAAUAAUAACAGAUUUUUUUUUUGAGACCUGUGGGAGUUGACUGGGCUGAUGGGUUGACCGAGUUAGGCUGACUCAGUUGACCGAGCUGAGGUGUGUUGACUAGGCUGACCAAAUUGACCGAUUGGACGGCGCACUGAAGAGACCAGGCUGAGUGCGACCCCAAGGAUGAGGACGGUGAAGCAACGCGAGAGAUGGAGCGACGCGAUCCGAAGGAUGAGGACGGCAAUCUUCACAGAUGAAGCCGACGAUCUGGGUGCUUUGCGGUGUCGCCGGGAACUGACGAACCCUGUUCUGAAAAGAUGACGGCGAUCGGACGGGACCUCUAACUGGUGCGGCGCACGUUGUGUAUGCCCCGCCUUGACUGCAGAAGACGUCGACGCCGAUCUGGACAGCAAGAGAGGGACGAUUCUGGGCUGGUAACCAAGAACGACGCCGGGCUGGAUCAAGAGAGGAUGGCGCCGAUCUGGAUUGAUGAGAGGAGCGGGGGCGGUCUCGAGCAGAAGACGAAGCCGACUCGGCAAGAGGAGCGACAACGGUCUUGAAGACGAGGCCGACUGGAUUAAAGGAGCAAUGACGGCCUUGGGCUGAAGGCGAAGCCAAUAGUCACUGAAGUGAAGUUGACGGAGAAGAAGGAUGACGUCUUCCAAUAGUUGGAGAACGACGUCGUCUAACCCACAGAAGGUUCCAAGUCAACUGUCUUCCUCGUAUUGAGAGAAGACUGAAGAAGAAGAAAAAAAAGACAAAGUCCUUUGCGGAUCUUUGCUCUGAUACCAAGUCAAAUAGAACAAGGUUGAGAGAAUGAAUUUUCUGAUAAUCUUAUUCAUCUCACAGUGGAGGUAUAUAAAGAGGAUUACAGGAAUACAAUUGACUUACGUCUCUAUUAUCUACCACACACAGAAAAGAGCCAAGCUGUUUUCUCGAAUUUCUUUGGACACCAAAACGCUCUGGUCCCAGAUAUUGUGGCUUCCAAUCUAUUUUGGAUACCUCAAUCGAUUUUGGCACCAAUUUGAUUUGGGCACCCCUACAUCAUCAAUGUCACCGACGUGCGCUGAUAACCAACUCGAGAGGUCGGCAACAGCGAAACCACCUUAUUUUAUAUUUUUUUCAAAGUGAUGCGGGAGCCAAGUUCAUAUUUUAUUCAAGAAGUUUUUUCAGUUACUAAACACUAUAUAAUUAAGAGGUCUGUUCUUCAGGGUGUAAGAAAUGCAAUUCACAUAUACAAUUUCAGGUUAUUGUCUUUUGAAUCUCUUCAUGCCUUGAUGUUUGAUGUAUUAACUGUCAUAACUCGUGUCUUUUAGAAUUCUUAGAUGCAUUAAUUUGGUUCUUUGAAUGAUUCACGUAUCAAUGGCUCUAUGAAAAGAGCCAAGUUGUUAGCUUUGAAAGAUAAGUUGCUUGUGAAAUUUCUUGAUGGUUUCUUCUUGUGUGUGAAGCAUUGGUUGACUUGGAGUGAUUCCAAGGCACCUUUGGUGUGUUGUGGAAAGUUUCUGAUUUCUCACUGAUUACUACCGCUGUGAAGCUGGUAGUUACUAUCCUUUCCUUAUGAUUUAUUCCUUUUUUUACUACAUCUUAUCUGUGUACUUUAUUGAUAGAGGGUCUAAGCUUGUCCUUUAAGGCACAAGGCAUUUAAUUCUUGAGUUGAGGCUAAUUUGUCGUGCUUGAUAUAUGCAUUGAUGACAUUAUGACAAAUAACAUUCAUACUUCACAUUAGUCUUUUGUUUUUUCCCCUAAUGUCAUCUUGUGUACAAGGCUAUGUGGCUUGCUUGGUGCCCUCAUGUUUCAAACUGGUGUAGCUGCAACAUAUCAUAAUUAAUGUUGUUCAUAGGGAAUUGAGCAGGGCAUGGUGACACCAUCUCUUUUAGUCCAAGUGACGGAAAUGAAAAGCAUAGACAUGGGUUUGCAAAGAAAUUUGGACCUCUGUUGUCUGGGACAGCAUAUUGCAUUUCAUCGUGCAGCAUGAUAUUGCUGAAUAAAGUUGUUCUAUCGAGUUACAACUUCAAUGCAGGAGUUUCAUUUAUGUUUUAUCAAAUCCUGAUUUCCUAUUUUAUGAAGACAUCGCAUCAUGAAGAGUAUCUCUGUGUCAAGAUCUCAUAUCAAGGCAUCGGAAUUGGUGCGAUGUUGGGAGAUACAACAGAGUGGAGGAAAUGUUGAACACUGGAAUAGUGCCAAAGUAACCCUAUGCAAUCAUUGGGAGAUCAAGCUUGGAACACCCAGCAAAUUGUUUUCUUAUUUAUCAUCAUGUAAAUCUUAUGAAACUUGAAAGCUUGUUAAGCUAAUGAAAUAGAUUAAUGCUUUAUGAAA